GUCCGAAAGCCCCGCCCAGGGCGCAGUCCCGGCGCCCGGUUCCCUUUUGUCUCACGGCCGGGAAGGUUCCGGCCUCGGUUCGCGGACGGAAAGCUUAUGCGGACGGACUGUGCUGGUGAUGGGCGCGGAGUCCAGGCACACCUGAGUUGCAGUCCAAAUGCAGCAGUUCGUUAUUUCCGGGCUGGCGGUUUAGCGAUGAGGCUGUGCCUGGGAACUGGGAAGGGACGCACCAGGGCGAGGGACGUCAGGGCGACGGGGAGACCCGAGGAGGGCAUCAUGCAACAGGGUAAUAAACACUUGCACAGACACUCUUGGGUAGAUGAAGAUAGCCACCCAAGAAGAAGGGUUGAUCAGCAGAAAGCACUACCAUAUGGCAACUAUGAGUUCUUCAGUAAAUUUCUCAAGAGCCUCUUUUACAUUUCUCCACUUACAGUUGUCUGUCUGCAUUCUGCCUGGGAACACUAGGAUCAUUUUCAUCAUGCCCACAGUGGUGGUAAUGGACGUGUCCCUUUCCAUGACCCGGCCUGUGUCCAUCGAGGGGUCUGAGGAAUAUCAGCGCAAGCACCUGGCAGCCCAUGGUUUGACGAUGCUGUUUGAGCACAUGGCCACAAAUUACAAGCUUGAGUUUACAGCCCUCGUGGUUUUUUCAUCACUCUGGGAACUGAUGGUUCCCUUCACAAGAGAUUAUAACACGCUACAGGAAGCACUAAGUAAUAUGGAUGAUUAUGAUAAAACGUGCUUGGAAUCUGCAUUGGUUGGUGUUUGCAAUAUUGUUCAGCAAGAAUGGGGUGGUGCAAUUCCUUGCCAGGUUGUUCUGGUGACGGAUGGUUGUCUUGGCAUUGGUAGAGGGUCUCUACGGCAUUCCCUAGCUACUCACAGUCAACGAAGUGAGAGCAACAGGUUUCCACUACCUUUUCCUUUCCCAUCUAAGUUAUACAUCAUGUGCAUGGCAAAUUUGGAGGAGCUUCAGAGCACUGAUUCCUUGGAUUGCCUUGAACGUCUCAUAGAUCUAAACAAUGGUGAAGGGCAGAUUUUUACUAUUGAUGGACCCCUGUGCUUGAAAAAUGUACAGUCUAUGUUUGGAAAACUGAUCGAUCUGGCAUAUACUCCUUUCCAUGCUGUUCUCAAGUGUGGCCACCUCACUGCUGAUGUGCAAGUCUUCCCCAGGCCAGAACCUUUCGUUGUAGAUGAGGAAAUCGAUCCUGUCCCUAAAGUCAUUAACACAGAUUUGGAAAUAGUGGGAUUUGUCGACAUAGCUGAUAUUUCAAGUCCCCCAGUUCUCUCCAGACAUCUGGUCCUACCUAUAGCACUUAACAAAGAAGGUGACGAGGUGGGUACUGGCAUAACUGAUGACAAUGAAGAUGAAAACUCAGCCAAUCAGAUCGCAGGCAAAAUACCCAACUUCUGUGUCCUGCUCCAUGGCAGCCUAAAAGUGGAAGGAAUGGUGGCAAUAGUUCAAUUAGGUCCUGAAUGGCAUGGGAUGCUCUACUCCCAAGCUGACAGCAAGAAGAAAUCAAACCUCAUGAUGUCUCUCUUUGAGCCUGGCCCAGAACCCCUGCCAUGGCUAGGGAAGAUGGCACAGCUGGGGCCUAUUUCAGAUGCUAAAGAAAACCCUUACGGUGAGGAUGACAAUAAGAGCCCCUUCCCCCUGCAGCCCAAAAACAAACGCAGUUACGCUCAGAAUGUGACUGUCUGGAUCAAACCCAGUGGCCUGCAGACAGAUGUACAGAAGAUUUUAAGAAAUGCAAGGAAACUACCUGAAAAAACACAGACAUUCUAUAAGGAGCUGAACCGCUUACGAAAGGCUGCCCUGGCCUUUGGUUUCCUGGACCUGCUCAAAGGGGUAGCUGACAUGCUGGAAAGGGAGUGCACGUUGCUGCCCGACACAGCCCACCCCGAUGCUGCAUUUCAGCUGACCCACGCCGCCCAGCAGCUCAAGCUGGCCAGCACUGGCACCUCCGAGUACGCCGGGUAUGACCACAACAUUACACCUCUGCACACGGACUUCUCUGGGAGCAGCACGGAAAGAAUGUGAAGCUGACCUCAGGAGCCUGCCUUCUUUUUUCAUUGCAAGUGAAAUGAUUUGGGAUAAAAACUGCCAGUCUGUUCACCUCUGCAAUAGCCACCCAAAGUCCUCCGUGAGGCUGCCUCAGAAGCACCCCUUGCUGGUUUGAAUGACUUUGCUAGAAUCUGAGGAUUCUGAAGGGUGGUCAGCUGCUUGGGCUUUGACUUUAGCUUUCUGGGGCUCAGUCUUUAAGCCCAAAAGACAACCGUUGCUCCCAUGAACACAUCUCCUAGAAGCUUGAAGGACUGAUGAGCACAGUCUUCCCCACUUCCUCAGGAAACACAACCAGCAGCAAUUCUCUGGCUUCUGACAGGCAUCUUCUCUUCUCUCCUCUCUCAACCAUAAGGACAUUUUCAAGCUUCUGUCCUUGGAAUGAGAAGCCCAGACUGUCUAGGACUUGAAAUAAGCCUCCAAGCCGACAACAGAAAGAUGACUGAGGAACGGUCAUUUGAUAGCACUGGGCUUCAGUUUCCUAUUCUGCAAAACUGAGAGAAAAAUCCCUAUCUGACUCACUCACUAGGUGUUUGUCAGAGUAAAAUGAAAUUAUCAGUAUGAACCUGCUUUGGAUAAACAAAAAAUACCAUAUAAAUAGGAGGCAGGCAGUACAUGACCAUGCAGCUUCCAAACCUUACAAAAUGAGCAACUUUCCAGGAACAGUCUGGGUACCAGGAUUAUUAUGGAAGAAAACCACUAGAAAGAAAUUCUUGAAAAGUCCAAAGGUGACAGAGGGAAGAAGAAAGGCUUGGCCUAUCAGCUUAGCUAUCCCUUGGAGCUAAGCUAUAAAACCUAGUA